GACGAACGCUGGCGGCGUGCCUAAUACAUGCAAGUUGAGCGCUGAAGGUUGGUACUUGUACCAACUGGAUGAGCAGCGAACGGGUGAGUAACGCGUGGGGAAUCUGCCUUUGAGCGGGGGACAACAUUUGGAAACGAAUGCUAAUACCGCAUAAAAACUUUAAACACAAGUUUUAAGUUUGAAAGAUGCAAUUGCAUCACUCAAAGAUGAUCCCGCGUUGUAUUAGCUAGUUGGUGAGGUAAAGGCUCACCAAGGCGAUGAUACAUAGCCGACCUGAGAGGGUGAUCGGCCACAUUGGGACUGAGACACGGCCCAAGCUCCUACGGGAGGCAGCAGUAGGGAAUCUUCGGCAAUGGACGAAAGUCUGACCGAGCAACGCCGCGUGAGUGAAGAAGGGUUUCGGAUCGUAAAACUCUGUUGGUAGAGAAGAACGUUGGCGAGAGUGGAAAGCUCAUCAAGUGACGGUAACUACCCAGAAAGGGACGGCUAACUACGUG
rnacentral:rRNA from 1 species